ACAUUUACUUCGAAUCAAAACUUAAAUCAGAAGAUUCCAUUUUCAAGUCCCUAGAAAUUACAGUAACAAGGCUGAAACUUGCCUUGAUGCUUUCAAGACAUUGGAUCUUGUCUUUGAUCAAAACUUUUAACAUGGUGUAAACUCCAUCUAAUAUUUUGGAUAUGUCUUUAACCAUCUAUACAAACUGGAUUAAUAGUAAAUUAACUUUCAAUAUCAUUAUCAAAACAAUAGGCUAUCACCUGAUUUAAUAAGAUUUAGUUGCAAAUAGUAACACACAAUUAAACAAUAUAAUCCAAAGUUCGACCGCAAGGUAAAUAAAGUCUGACAAAAAAUUGUUUCCAACAGGAAUCAAACCAAAAUGAAUAGAUUUUGUCAUGUAAAAUGUAAACAUAAAACAUAUAAUAUGACUCAACAUCAAUCAUACUUAAUUAAAUAACAUAAAACAUUUAUAUUCAUAAGGUCAAGAUGUUGAAAACUAGGUUGAAAAUACAACAAUGCAUACAUUUAAGAUAGGUAAAAAAAUGUAAAACAAAUAUUGCUUUAAUUCUUAGCAAACA
rnacentral:lncRNA from 1 species